ACGAGGUUGAUAUGUCCCCAUUUGAAAUUGAGCAUUCGAUGUUCAUUCCUUAAAGAUGUGCUGGGAAAUAAUCUCCUCGGUAUUGAUCAUCUCUACUUUGCAAUUGAGUUCAGAAAUAGCCUCUGGAUGCAUUCAGUCAUCAGUGACCGAUACCUCUCGGAACUCAGAAAUGUCAGUUACCAGCCUAUCAUGUGGUUCUAUCGUUGGACCUAUGAAGGAGGUCAUUGGACUCGUACCUCGUCUUCUUGACCGCCAACCCCUUUCGAACAUUUUCGGUGG